AUCUCCGCGCACAGUGGUGGCCACCGCGACUGGUGCGGAAGUGUCGGCGCGUGCCCGGCGCUCCGCUGGGACCCGGGUUGCUCGCCCUGAGUCUCAGCUUUCUCAUCUGUACGGUUGGGACAAGUACAGUAACCCUCGCCCGUCAAGACGGGCCAGGGCUGUCGCGAGGGUCCACGCCUUAGUGCAGGCACCUAUCUUGUGCGGGGCCCUGAGAUGGGGUCUGACUCAGUUCCUGCGGGGAACUUCACCAGUGACCCAGUCAGUGCCCUUCAGUUAAAGACCACCAGGAGCACACUUCAUUGCUGUUGGAAAGGCUGAUGCCAAUCAAAACGAAUUUUUCCCUAAAGGAUGAUCUGUCUUCUAGUCAUUUUGACAGGAUGUUACAAAACAAAGGAGGCUUCAAUGUU
rnacentral:sRNA from 1 species